CCCCUUGCCGCCGCGUGGUGCCGGCCCUCCCCCCCCCUCCCGCCGCCCACUUCCCCCGCCGCCGCCGCGUGGUGCCGGCUCGCCCUGGGCCGGCCGCAUUGAAGCUGUGAGGAGCUGAAGAAGAGCUAGUGAAAGAGAGGUAUUGCAGCAGGUGGUGUGGGUGAUACUGGCUGCACUGUUGGGGCUUGAACUCGAAGAGGAACAGAUGAUGAUGAGCCCGGCAGUUGACUAAGAUGUCUUUCAGUGCCUGUGCAUUUCUUGAGGUGGAGUAGAGUGUAAACCUUAGGAGGAACUGGUCACAGGAAAGAACUCCUUCUGGAACUGUCCAGCACUCGUUGUUAAAGCUGAAACACAGUGUACAACACGGGACUUGACCAGAGCUGCUUUUGGCAAGUAAAAAUCCUGUUUAUAUUUCAGAGGUGUUGUAGCUGGCCUAAGAGAGCAGAUGGAAUCAUCUGUGUCAAGGGCAGGUAAGGGAGCAGAGGUGUCUCGCACAGGCUCAGUGGGGCCAAACUGCACUCUGAAGAGCAGCACGAGAAGGGCAGGCUCAUCUUGAGCUGGGUUGGAGCAGAACAGCCAAGUAGCACAAGGUCUCUGACAUCCAGCCAAGAUGGACAAAGGAGAAGGACAAGGGAAAAGCCUGGGAGGAAGACUACGAGCUUUCAGCAUGAGAGACCCCCAGAGGGACCACUGAUAACACAUGCACCAGUGGGAGGGUUUGGAUUCCGUGACCUAAUUCUAAUAAUCCUGCCUUUUAUAGAAGUAGUAAUGAAUAUGUAUUAGCGUAGCAGCAUAAAAACCUGGAGCCUGCUGUAACUUGUGUGCCUCUUGGUGGAGCAGAGACUCCCGGCACACCCAGCGCUGCUUGCUUACCUCUAUUCCUUUAAUAAAUUGUAAACUUCAAUUGCAAUCCUAUUUGGGAGUUUUAUUAUUUAUAAUAACAGACAACCUUGUAAAACGCAGACAACCAGAAUCCUUACAGCAAUUAGGUGGAAAUCACGGUGUAAGAAACAUUACCACCUCAAAGAGUAAAAACCUCAAAAGAAAUGUGACUUGUAACAGGCCAGCAGCUGUGUAUUUUCUGUGAAGCACCAGAUUAUGAACCUUGAAUAGUACAGUUAAUGGGGAAACAGGGGAGGGUCCCGGUCCUUGGCAGAAAAAAAAAAGUGUAUAAACUGUGUAUGGAAUUAGUAGGCACCCUCCUGCUUGCGGGACGCCCGCCAUCUCAAAUAAAAAUGCUACUGUACU